GACAGAGGGGGCAAGCGUUGCUCGGAAUUACUGGGCGUAAAGGGCGCGUAGGCGGGAUGGCAAGUCGGUCGUGAAAUCCCUCGGCUCAACUGAGGAUCGUCGAUCGAUACUGCCGUUCUUGAGGAUUGCAGAGGAGACUGGAAUUCCCGGUGUAGUGGUGAAAUGCGUAGAUAUCGGGAGGAAUACCAGUGGCGAAGGCGGCUUCUUGGCCUGUUCUUGACGCUGAGGCGCGAAAGCUGGGGGAGCAAACGGG
rnacentral:rRNA from 1 species